GCCAGCGCUCCAGUGGGCGGGGGCGCGGCAGGUGACUCCAGACCAAGGAGGAUGAGCUGCUAUCCCUGGAAGAGAACGGAUGGAGGGAAGCAGCUCCUACAAAGUUCCCUCUGUGGCUGCUACUGAUCUGGAGGAGGGUGCUGGUCAGACUAGGAGCUUGCCUGCCACCCCCUCCAAAGAUGUUCACAAGGGUGUUGGAGGCAUCAUCUUUUCCUCCUCACUGAUUUUAGACUUGAGUGAAAGUGGUCUGUGCCGUUUGGAGGAGGUCUUUAGAAUCCCCAGCCUUCAACAAUUGCAUCUGCAAAGGAAUGCCCUGUGUGUGAUUCCUCAAGAUUUCUUUCAGUUGCUGCCAAACCUGACUUGGCUGGACCUCCGGUACAAUAGAAUUAAGGUGCUUCCUUCUGGGAUUGGAGCUCACAAGGAGCGUAACCACGCUGAAAGCACUGAACCUAAGACACUGCCCUCUGGAAUUCCCUCCUCAGCUCGUUGUGCAGAAGGGAUUGGUGGCUAUCCAGCGCUUCCUGCGGAUGUGGGCAGUAGAACACUGUCUCCCCAGAAAUCCAACUUCUCAAGAGACUCCACCGGUUAGAGAGAUGACCCUCCGUGACCUCCCGAGCCCAAGAUUGAAGUUGUCUGGAGACCACGCGUCUAACGAAGGAGCUGUGAACGCUCAGGACCCAGAGGGGGCCGUGAUGAAAGAGAAGGCCGGCUUUCUCCUGUCUGUGGAAAAGCCAGACCUGAGUGAACUCAGGAAGUCUGCUGACUCCUCAGAGAACUGGCCUAGCGAGGAGAUCAGGCGCUUUUGGAAGCUGAGGAAGGAGAUUGUUGAGCACGUGAAGGCAGACGUUCUGGGAAAUCAGCUCUUACCGAGGGAAUUACCUCCAAAUCUCAAGGCGGCCUUGAACAGUGAGGAAGAACUGCCAAAGCCAAGACGGGUUUUCAGGACAAGGGUCCUUAGGAAACAGGCUCUGCAGAGGCUACAUGAGAGAAAAACUCGAAUCAUGGGUGUGAUAGGGCGUGCACCUACACAUAUGGGAGAAGGAAGACAGCCUCCUCCAGGAGCAUCUUACCCAACCUCUUGUCACCAUACCAAAUGGCGAUCCGAGCAAAAAGACUGGAAGAGAGCCGAGCGGCGGCGCUCCAAGAGCUCCGGGAGAAGCAGGCUCUGAUGGAGCAGCAGAGACGAGAGAAAAGGGCACUGCAGGAGUGGAGAGAGCGAGCCCAGAGGAUGAGGAAGAGGAAGGAAGAACUCAGCAAACUCCUGCCUCCGCGGAGGAGCAUGGUGGCAUCAAAGAUUCCCUCUGCUACAGAUCUGGUAGAUAACGGGAAAGUACCACUGAAUCCACCUGGAAAAAUGAAACCAAGCAAAGAGAAAUCGCCACGAUCAAGUAAAGAAAUGAGUGCCCUCCAGGAGGGAAAUUUAGAAGAGAAGAUAAAACAGCACAUCCCCCAAAUGCACGAGCAGAGAAGAUUCCAUGGCCAGGCCCCGCUGGAGGAGAUGAGGAAGGCUGCCGAGGAUCUGCAAAUUGAAGGCCGAUAUUCAUGGGGAUCCGAGGCCUCCUGACGAGGAGCCUCCUAAGCAGUACUGCUUACGGAAGUGGCUCCUAUAUAUUUGGAAUGUUAACCAUCCUCUCAGCCACCGCCAGUGCUGUUUAUUCACUCAGCAUACGCUGAUGCCUACCUCCUGGUACUUGGAGUAUCCUGGGCUGUGGGAGACACGCAGGAAUGAAGGAAAGUGCUUUGCUGCCCGAACUGCUGCCUGGCCAGCCCAUCCAGCUGUAGAAGGACACAGCUGCCGUCCCUGGCAGUGAACCUGGAUACCCAUGUCCCCACCCUUCUUGCAGCCAUAAGAACGCUGGCCUGUCCUCUCAGGCUACCCAAGGCCCCUGGCUGGUGGCCUCUUCCAGGCCACAGAGCUACAGGAUGAAGUAUUGAAGCUGAAAUUGGGAUUAACCUUGAACAAAGACCGUCGAUGGGCGGCCCUCACUGGAAACCUUUCUCUUGGCCUGCCAGCGGCACAGCCUCAAAAUACAUUUUUUAACACAAAAUAUGAAGAAUCAGGAAAUGUUCGCAGACACCAGUGACACCAGGUGGCUGGACUGAUGGAGACGUCUUCAGACAGGAGCCGCUCAGUCUUCUUUCCCGGGCGUCGCCUCCUGUGUGGUGGCCGGAAGAGCCCAGGUUCAGUGUUACCCUUAGGGCUGAUUUCACGCAGCCUGUUGUUUUCCUUAGACAGGUCCACGUUCCUCUCCUGAGGCUGUGGAAGAUUUCAGCCGUACUAAAAGAAAGGACACUGUGA
rnacentral:sRNA from 1 species